rnacentral:rRNA from 1 species
GUGAGGAAUUUUCCGCAAUGGGCGAAAGCCUGACGGAGCAAUGCCGCGUGAAGGAUGAAGGCCUAUGGGUUGUAAACUUCUUUUCUCAGAAAAGAAUUAUGACGGUAUCUGAGGAAUAAGCAUCGGCUAACUCUGUGCCAGCAGCCGCGGUAAGACAGAGGAUGCAAGCGUUAUCCGGAAUGAUUGGGCGUAAAGCGUCUGUAGGUUGUUUAAAAAGUAUUCUGUCAAAGAUUAGGGCUUAACCCUAGAUAGGCAGAAUAAACUUUUAAGCUAGAGUUUGGUAGAGGGAGAAGGAAUUCCCGGUGGAGCGGUGAAAUGCGUAGAUAUCGGGAGGAACACCAAAGGCGAAGGCACUCUGCUGGGCCAAUACUAACACUGAGAGACGAAAGCGAGGGGAGCAAAUGGGAUUAGAAACCCUGGUAGUCC